UGCAGUCGAACGGUAAGCACCUGCUUGCAGGUGACACGAGUGGCGCACGGGUGCGUAACGCGUAUGCAACCUACCUUCAUCUGGAGAAUAGCCCCGAGAAAUCGGGAUUAAUACUCCAUAAUAAUAUAAAACGACAUCGUUUCUUAUUUAAAGCUCCGGCGGUUGAAGAUGGGCAUGCGUGACAUUAGAUAGUUGGUGAGGUAACGGCUCACCAAGUCAACGAUGUCUAGGGGUUCUGAGAGGAUUUUCCCCCACACUGGUACUGAGACACGGACCAGACUCCUACGGGAGGCAGCAGUAAGGAAUAUUGGGCAAUGGACGAAAGUCUGACCCAGCCAUGCCGCGUGCAGGAUGACAGCCCUAUGGGUCGUAAACUGCUUUUAUAAGAGAAGAAACCUUCGGACGUGUCCGAGGCUGACGGUAUCUUAUGAAUAAGCACCGGCUAACUCCCUGCCAGCAGCCGCGGUA
rnacentral:rRNA from 1 species